rnacentral:rRNA from 1 species
UGAGCGCUUGCCUCUUGGGAUUCCUGAGAGUAUG